rnacentral:rRNA from 1 species
AUGGAGAGUUUGAUCCUGGCUCAGAAGGAACGCUGGCAGCGUGCAUAACACAUGCAAGUCGAACGGUAGUAUAUCUUCGGAUAUAUGAGAGUGGCGAACGGGUGAGUAACACGUAAGAAUCUACCUUUGGGACGGGGAUAACUUCUGGAAACGGAUGCUAAUACCCGAUACGCUGUGGAGUGAAAGAAUUUCGCCCAAAGAUGAUCUUGCGUCUGAUUAGCUAGUUGGUAGGGUAAUGGCUUACCAAGGCGACGAUCAGUAGCUGGUCUGAGAGGAUGGACAGCCACAUUGGAACUGAGACACGGUCCAAACUCCUACGGGAGGCAGCAGUGG